UCCAUGCGAACAGAGUCUGUGCAAGCUCCUUCGCCUCGUAAAUUGUUUCCCUUCCCUUUUAUCCGUCCCUGGCCGUGUUUCUUUUUAGGACAGAGGGGAUAUAAACUGUUUGAAGUUCAUCAGCACGGUGAAGUUUUAUUGUAUUUCCGGUCCCCAAGAUUUACGCCCCCGGAGGAGAAGCCGGCUGCCAGGCAGACGCCCUCCUUACCUCCGACUUCCACUACUCCGGAUACGGUGGAUACUGUAGCCGCGAGGCUGCCACUCGCCUUCGGGUGCAGGGAGGGAGCGAGCCAGGUCCAGCCGGCUCCUUCCCAUGCCCGUUCCCAGUGCGGUGCGGGCCCCCUCACCGGCUCAGUUCUUCUUGGAUCUGCUGUCCUGUCCACUCUCCCUUCUCAAGGCUGGGGUUCGUGUACAGUCGGAAGAUUUGACCUUUCAGAGAUGCCUGGGAGUCUGGGUAACCCUGGGGCCCAGGGACUGGCCAGAUGAAACCUGCCCAGGCACUAGGAGCAUGACCAGAGUCCACCCCUUGGUUCCUCACCCUGGCCACCUCCUCCCAGGAAAAGCGCUGUAAAAAAAAGAAAAAAGGGGAUGUUAGAGAGAAAGGAGAAAAUAAACUCUUUGGAAAGCAGAGAGUUUUACAACAGCCAAAGGUUUUAUGGAAGCAAUUGUGUAAUAGCCUUCUACCUGCUCAGAACCCUUUCCGCUCUGCCUGCCGCCCACCCCGUUUGGCCUCCUUGAUCCCUCCUCCCAAAGGACUCAGCCGCCUCCCACUGUCUUGGAUAUCAGUGGUGGCUGGGAGUUGGGAAGAAGAUUACUCAGUCCAGCGGGGCCACUGACCUCUGAUAUCCUAUGAGGGAAGUUUGUCAGAGGUUCUGUUACUUUUCAAUUAAGGUCCUUGCUUGGGACUGUGGAAACACCCAAGUUUGAGCCCCACUGUAUAGAUUGGUGAUCCCUGUUUGAAGGUUAUUUUGGACAAAGAGUGUGGGUCCUGGGAUCUUGGCUUCCCCUCCAAUGUCUAAGGAAACAAGUAUCUUCAAACCUCCCCGUAUUCCAGAGCAGGUCUCGAGGUCAGAAGUGUCUCUGGUGCUGGAGGAUAGAGACUGGGGACUUUAACAAUCUGGUUGUAUGCAAGGGUGUUUUGGCGUGACCGCCACAGUUACCUGAGGACUGUCACGCUCCGUUUGUCUACUUUCCCUUCACACUUGUACAAGACACAAGUAAUGGUAUUUCCACCCCUAUGCCCAUCACUACCAUGAAAUAAGUGUCACACAGUGCAUGCCAUCCCUGCAGGUUGGGGCAAGAUACGCAGUAAAGGAUUUCAUGGUUGGGUAACAAAAGUCACCAAAUUUCAUGACCUCUUCUGGGUCAGUUGGAGGUAUUUCCUUCACCUUCCAGGAAAAUGUUCCGGUAGGACACCGUAAUUAAAUCCAGCUUUACACCACAUACAUUUAUUUGAAGAUGAAAUAUGAAUUUUGCUUGAGUACUAAAUUAAGAGACAAGAUUUCAAGUGAAGCUUCCAAAUCAGUUAAUAUUUUAUAGCCAAAAUUUAGGCACAUGAAUUUCCAGAAUUUUGUCUUCUCCAGGGGUAUGUUGGAUUUUUGGUUUUUUUGUUUGUUUUUGUUUUUUAAUGUGCACACCAACUUUAGGAGCAUAUUUUUAAAAUCAAGAACAGAAUCACCAUUAGUCUACAUUAUUUGCAGGGGUUAUACAUAUAACCACAUAUGCACAAUUAGAUCACAAAUGCCUGUGCCCAGGCACAUCUAGUAUUGCAGUUGGGAAGAUGAUGAUAUAUACUAUACAUGGAUGGAACAGAGCACACUUGAACACUAGGUUCCCCUACAGAAAUAUUGGUUUGAAACAGACAUGCCGGAGAAUUACCUGCUCAAAUCCAGCUGCAUCAAUCUCAGCUUUAGCUUAUUAAUUAAACACAAACUAUCUACUCAUUUACUGUUUUCCUCCCCCUCCCUUUUUAACCCCUAGAUUUUGUCUUAGUACUGAUAGAGCCCCCCCCCCCCAAC